GUUUCACAAAUUUUAAAUACACAGAGGAGGCAGGGAAGAGCUGUUCGCCAUCUUCUCCCACGACCCCAUUUCUCCAGGGCCCUACUCCCUAUACACAGUCACAAAUGUUCAGUAAUAAGAGACAAGAGAAAAACUGACUGCUCUGCUAACUGUGUCUCCCCAGAUAAUGGCUGGAUGGGAAUAUUCAAAGUGCACUGAAAUUCCCAUAUACUCAGGGAUGCACUGUUUGGGGGCUGCUCCUUCCAACCCAGUGAAAGAAAUCUCUCCUGUUUGCCCACUGAAGUUACUACCACUGCUUGUCCUGGUGAUGAGACAUGGUGACUCUAUUGAAGUGCUGCCUGCAUCACCAAUUUUACACGGUGUGGCCAUGGGAGGAGGUUGGAAGGUUGCUGCUAUGGGGAUAUAUUAAAACAGAAGCUCCCAUAAGUACAAAAUACAGUCCUUUCUUCACAGCUUGAGACAGAAGGUCAGCUACAGCUGGCACGGGCUGUGCAUGGUAAAUAACAAAGUACACUGAAGAUGUUGAACUGUAUCGAAUUCCUGGUUUUUUUGAUCUGUGUUGUUCCAGGUCAUUGCAGUUUAACUCUUAGGGUGCUGCUGCCUUCCCAGCCACAAGCCCAGCUACUCUUGAGGAGGCUGAAAAUUGUCUGGGAGCCUGCUAAUGACUUUAAUGAGCUGUUCAUGAACACGACAGGGAUUUGUGCAAUAGAGAAUGGCAAACUGGCUCAGAGCUGGUGUGAAUGGAAGAAUUGCUCCAGUGAAUGUCUGUCUGCUGGGAAAACAUCAGAGCACCUAUAGAAAGAACAUAGUGGGCUUGUUCAGCACAACAGCCUUUCAGAGGAAACCUCAAACACCCUAAAGCAGCAGUGCCGUGGGACCAAUGCCUUCCAAAAGGAUGAGGGGAAGGAGGGAUUAAAAUGGUUUCAAUUAAAAAUGGAGCAAGCUUGCAAGCUGUCUCCAUUGUCUCCUGGUCCUCUUGGGAAGUACUCAAAGUAGGUAGUGAUGAGAUUGACAGGUCUAGCCUGGAAAAUGAACCCCCAGUGCUGGCAAAUGACAUCAAAUCCCUUAGAACAGGGAUGACACCCACCUCCUUGGAGGUAUAGGCUAAUGGCAGGGUCAGGAUUUCCCCAGAACCAUGUGGGAAGUAGGAGGGCUCUAAUGUGGCUGGCUGAGGGAUACAAGGCCAAAUUGAGCCUUACCAGAAGCCAGACCAAUGCUGCUUAUUUCUAACUGGGCUGAAGCAGCUCAAACUGGCCAAGAGUGACAGUAAGAGAGGAGAUGAGGGCUGAGGAGCUGCUGGGAGGUGGAGGAGUUAGAGUGGAUGUUUACUGGGGAGGUGGGUUGCAGCAGGACAGCCACAGCAGAGAUGUGGUUUACUGAGCUCUUGAGGGCUUUAAAAAACUUCUGCAAAGGGAAGAGUACCUCAGCUUAUUGAAACUGAAGUGGGGAAGAGCCUGAAAGAAAGAACAGGCCUCUGGAGCUGGUACCCUGGUAUAAAUGUUGCUGGAAGAUGACCUGCAUCUAUUAAAAAGAUGUUAAAGUUGAUCCUUUUCUGUCAUGUUUAUGGAUGUUACCCAGAGUGGCUUUUAUCAGAUGUGCAUUUGGCUCAGCACUGGAGGAUAAUUGCAG
ensembl:lncRNA